AACCAGACUCCUACGGGAGGCAGCAGUAGGGAAUUUUGCGCAAUGGGGGAAACCCUGACGCAGCAACGCCGCGUGAUUGAUGAAGCCCUUCGGGGUGUAAAGAUCUGUCAGUGGGGACGAAACUUGACGGUACCCACAGAGGAAGCAUCGGCUAACUCCGUGCCAGCAGCCGCGGUAAUACGGGGGAUGCAAGCGUUGUCCGGAAUCAUUGGGCGUAAAGAGUUCGUAGGUGGCACGUUAAGUCUGGUGUUAAAUGCAGAGGCUCAACCUCUGUUCGGCACUGGAUACUGGCGAGCUUGAAUGCGGUAGAGGUAAAGGGAAUUCCUGGUGUAGCGGUGAAAUGCGUAGAUAUAAGGAAGAACACCAGUGGCGAAGGCGGAUGACUGGACGGCAACUGACGGUGAGGCGCGAAAGCGUGGGGAGCAAACAGGAUUAGAUACCCCCGUAAG
rnacentral:rRNA from 1 species